rnacentral:rRNA from 1 species
CGCUAUCACUCCUACGGGGAGGCAGCAGUAGGGAAUCUUCCACAAUGGGCGCAAGCCUGAUGGAGCAACACCGCGUGAGUGAAGAAGGGUUUCGGCUCGUAAAGCUCUGUUGUUAAAGAAGAACACGUAUGAGAGUAACUGUUCAUACGUUGACGGUAUUUAACCAGAAAGUCACGGCUAACUACGUUCCAGCAGCCGCGGUAAUACGUAGGUGGCAAGCGUUAUCCGGAUUUAUUGGGCGUAAAGAGAGUGCAGGCGGUUUUCUAAGUCUGAUGUGAAAGCCUUCGGCUUAACCGGAGAAGUGCAUCGGAAACUGGAUAACUUGAGUGCAGAAGAGGGUAGUGGAACUCCAUGUGUAGCGGUGGAAUGCGUAGAUAUAUGGAAGAACACCAGUGGCGAAGGCGGCUACCUGGUCUGCAACUGACGCUGAGACUCGAAAGCAUGGGUAGCGAACAGGAUUAGAUACCCUGGUAG